UACAGAGACUGCAAGCGUUAUUCGGAUUCACUGGGCGUAAAGGAUGCGCAGGCGGCCAAGUGUGUGAGGCGUGAAAGCCCGAUGCUUAACAUCGGAAUUGCACCUCAAACUACAUGGCUAGAGCAUUGGAGAGGGUAGCGGAAUUCACGGUGUAGCAGUGAAAUGCGUAGAUAUCGUGAGGAACACCAGAGGCGAAGGCGGCUACCUGGACAAUUGCUGACGCUCAGGCACGAAAGCGUGGGGAGCAAAAGGG
rnacentral:rRNA from 1 species